UUUAAAUAUAUAGAAUCCUUGAGCCACAACCAGGAGUGGAUGCUAGGCUUCUGUGGUAGGUAGCCUACUGUGUAGGCUCCUAUGUAGGAGGUACGUCUCUGUGUAACAUGAGAGCUCAUGGUUAGAACCUUCUAAAUGUGGGACAGUUACCUUAGGAGGUAAUGAGCUGUCUGUCUCUGGGGGAGUUCAAGCAGAGGCUGGAAAAUUCCUUGGUGGGGUUCAUUCAUCCACUCAUUCAUCUUCCAUCUACUCAUCCAUCCAAUAUUUUUCACUUAUCAAAUUUAUGCCAGGUGCUGGACUAGUUGAUUCAACCAUGAAUAAGAUAGAAAUGGCUUGUGGCUUCACAGUGCUAUGAUGGGGAAACGCUGGGGACUACAGAAGCAGGGUAGAGGGCGGCAUGACCUAGACCUGGCAGUCAGGGAAGGCUUCCUGGAGUAAGUGAUCUUUGAAGCUAAAGGCUGAAGGUUGAGAAGGACUUAGCUGCAAGGAGUCAAUAGAGUGUGAGCCAGUCAAUGACACAGUCAGAUGUGUGUCUUAGCUGGUUUCCUCAGAGGCAGACCCUGAGGCAGGGAUCCAAGGGUGUAUGGUUUCCACUGGGGGGUGACUCCAGAAAAUACCAGUGAGGGGGUGUGGUAGUGAGACAGGAAAGGGAGGCAGCCAAGAAGGUGUAUGUGGUCAAGCAAGUCACCUCUGUGUGCAAAU
rnacentral:lncRNA from 1 species